UACGUAGGGGCCAAGCGUUGUCCGGAUUUAUUGGGCGUAAAGAGCUCGUAGGCGGUUGGGUAAGUCGGGUGUGAAAACUCCAGGCUCAACUUGGAGAGGCCACCCGAUACUGCUCUGACUUGAGUUCGGUAGGGGAGUGGGGAAUUCCUGGUGUAGCGGUGAAAUGCGCAGAUAUCAGGAGGAACACCGGUGGCGAAGGCGCCACUCGUGGGCCGAAACUGACGCGUGAGGAGCGAAAGCGUGGGUAGCAAACAGG
rnacentral:rRNA from 1 species